GUAGGUGGCAAGCGUUGUCCGGAAUUAUUGGGCGUAAAGCGCGCGCAGGCGGUUCUUUAAGUCUGAUGUGAAAGCCCACGGCUCAACCGUGGAGGGUCAUUGGAAACUGGAGAACUUGAGUACAGAAGAGGAAAGCGGAAUUCCACGUGUAGCGGUGAAAUGCGCAGAGAUGUGGAGGGACACCAGUGGCGAAGGCGGCUUUCUGGUCUGUAACUGACGCUGAGGCGCGAAAGCGUGGGGGGAGCAAACAGGAUUAGAUACCCUGGUAGUCCACGCCGUAAACGAUGAGUGCUAAGUGUUAGGGGGUUUCCGCCCCUUAGUGCUGCAGCUAACGCAUUAAGCACUCCCGCCUGGGAGUACGGCCGCAAGGCUG
rnacentral:rRNA from 1 species